rnacentral:piRNA from 1 species
UGUUCUGGGGACCUACCAAGAUAACGGU